AUUGAACGCUGGCGGCAGGCCUAACACAUGCAAGUCGAGCGAGCGGCGGACGGGUGAGUAAUGUAUGGGGACUGCCCGAUAGAGGGGGAUAACUACUGGAAACGGUAGCUAAUACCGCAUACAAUCGGAUAACACAUAUGGGAUUAGCUAGUAGGUGAGGUAAUGGCUCACCUAGGCGACGAACCCUAGCUGGUCUGAGAGGAUGAUCAGCCACACUGGGACUGAGACACGGCCCAGACUCCUACGGAGGCAGCAGUGGGGAAUAUUGCCCAAUGGGCGCAAGCCUGAUCCAGCCAUGCCGCGUGUAUGAAGAAGGCCCUCGGGUUGUAAAGUACUUUCAGUCGGGAGGCGUUAUCGAAAGAGGAAGCACCGGCUAACUCCGUGCCAGCCGCCGCGGUAAUAC
rnacentral:rRNA from 1 species